rnacentral:misc_RNA from 1 species
AUUCGAUCGGCCUCUUCUUGGGCGAUAUGAGCUUGGAUACUAUCAAGCCUGGCUCGGUAGCUUUGGUGUCGUAGUUUCAAUUGCUCGGGCAUCAAUGACACAUGAUUUUAUCCCUUAUGGACAACAUCUCCUCAUGCGGUCAGCAGCUAGGGUGGAGGUGUUGCUUUCCACCCUACGGCAGGCAGGGAACCUGCACGCAAGCGCCUCCUGUGCUGAGGAGAAGGAGCGUGAGCUCGCUGAGCUUUGUUCCAAGGCCGAGCGGCUUGAGGACGAGGAGACUAGCUUGUGCUCAGAGUGUGUUGAUGCCCGGAGCGACGUCGACCGUCUUCGGGAAGAAGGAUCCCGGUUGUAAGGGACCCUCCGCGAGAUGAGUAUGCGAGCUAAGGAGGCCAAGUCAUCCCUUAAGGAGGCUAAUGCCUGCCUGGAGAAGGUGGACACAGAGCUCUUGAAAGAGCGCAACAUAGCUAAGGAGCUCUAGAAGAUGUUCUCCCGAGUCCCAGAGGCCUUGAAGGCGACGGCGGAGGCGAAGGCAAUGGUGGAGGCCAAGAUGCGAGAGCUUUCAUAGGCUCGUGAUGAUGUCGUUGCUACGACUGGCCAGGUGGUGGUCAAGCUCUCAGAAUGGAGCACUGAGCUCCAGGAUUUUUGUCUGGUUGUCGGUAGGUUGUGCACCCAUCUCUCGUGCCUGCCCCCGAUAGAGGUACCCUUGAUCGACACUUGUGAGUGUUACCUAGCCAUGUGGAGCAUGUCAUAGUCGAAG